rnacentral:rRNA from 1 species
UACGUAGGCAGCAAGCGUUGUUCGGAAUUACUGGGCGUAAAGAGUGUGUAGGCGGUGCUGUAAGUUUGGUGUGAAAUCUCCCGGCUCAACUGGGAGGGUGCGCCGAAUACUGAAUGACUAGAGUGCGGGAGAGGUGAGUGGAAUUCCUGGUGUAGCGGUGAAAUGCGUAGAUAUCAGGAGGAACACCGGUGGUGUAGACGGCUCACUGGACCGUAACUGACGCUGGAGAACACGAAAGCGUGGGUAGCAAACAGGA